GCCAAAGGUGUAAGGUUUGAGAGUAUUUUUGGGCGUUAAUCAGAUCAGGAGUAGAGGUCAGUGGCAGAUAGCUUAGCAAGGAUCGUUGGGCCAUCGCCGUUUUAUUUAGCUUGAUUUGAGGCCUUGUAUGCCUACUUGGUUUCGGCCUUGUAG